rnacentral:rRNA from 1 species
GACGAACGCUGGCGGCGUGCUUAACACAUGCAAGUCGAACGGAAAGGCCCUGCUUUUGUGGGGUGCUCGAGUGGCGAACGGGUGAGUAACACGUGAGUAACCUGCCCUUGACUUUGGGAUAACUUCAGGAAACUGGGGCUAAUACCGGAUAGGAGCUCCUGCUGCAUGGUGGGGGUUGGAAAGUUUCGGCGGUUGGGGAUGGACUCGCGGCUUAUCAGCUUGUUGGUGGGGUAUUGGCUUACCAAGGCUUUGACGGGUAGCCGGCCUGAGAGGGUGACCGGCCACAUUGGGACUGAGAUACGGCCCAGACUCCUACGGGAGGCAGCAGUGGGGAAUAUUGCACAAUGGGCGGAAGCCUGAUGCAGCAACGCCGCGUGCGGGAUGACGGCCUUCGGGUUGUAAACCGCUUUCGCCUGUGACGAAGCGUGAGUGACGGUAAUGGGUAAAGAAGCACCGGCUAACUACGU